GGAAACUGGGGUCCACAGUCCAUGCUGUAUCUUAAAGGACGAUAUGGGAGGAGAUCUACUGGAGACAAUGGCUCUUAUAACUCUAAAAUAAACUCCUGGAACCUUCUCCUUGGAGAUUACAAAAGGACACAAGCUCUUGGAGACGACGAUCACUGGAAACCAACAAAUGCUAAAAAUAUCAAUCCAAUGAAUAUGAAGUAGAAUAUUUUUUAAAUAACCUAAUGCAAUAUAUGGACAAACACUCAUUCUAGUAUAGUUAAACUUCAUGAAGCAUUCUUAAUUUCUGGGUGGGUGAGGGAGGAUCUAAAGGCUUUGUGUGUAACAGUCAUGAGUAUGUAAGCAUUGUACAGAAAAAUACUGUUGGUAUAAAAAUUGGUUCUAAGUUGAACAAAUGGUUAUAUCAGAACAAA